AAAAUAACAUUUAAAAAAUAAAACCAAAAUUCAUUGAGAAGGUGAGUGAAGGAACUGAGCGGGAAAAUUCAGCAAACCAUGAAACCGGUCAAUGAAUCCGAAAGCAUGGAGAAGGAAGAAGACAGUGAAGUGAAGUCCUUAGCUGAGUUUCUGAUGACCCAUCACUCUGAACAGCUUCAUUCCAUAGUCGUCUCUCCAGACCCUAAGCUUCAUUACCCUCUCUACAUCGAUUUUACAGAUUUGCUGAACGAUAAUUCUCGACUUGCUCAUCUUGUUUUGGCUCAGCCAACUGUGUACUUGCUGCUUUUCGACCGGGCUGCCUUCUGGGCUCAUAAAAUUGUGAUCAAGGGUUUGAAAUUUGGGGAGAAAGGGGUUGAGAAGAAGUUCAUUCAUGUGCGGAUUAAUGUAUGUGGAUCUCCACUUGAAUGCCCUGAGACGUUUCCGAGCAUUGGGCGUGUGAGAGUGAAGCAUCGCGGGAUUCUUCUCACUCUUAAGGGGACUUUAAUCAGGUCUGGAGCGAUUAAGAUGUAUGAAGGGGAAAGGAUGUAUCAGUGUCGGAAAUGCAAGCAUGUUUUCCCGGUUCACCCUGAGUUGGAAAGUAGAAACUCCAUAACACUACCUUCGUUUUGCCCUUCUCAGAGGUCUAAAUCCUGUGAAGGCACGAGGUUCGACUGUGUCGAUGAAUCUGUAAUACGCCAUGAUUACCAGGAAAUCAAAAUCCAAGAGAGCACACAGGUGUUGGGUGUUGGGGUCAUUCCUCGGUCAAUUCCUGUUAUUCUCAUGGAUGAUCUUGUUGACAUUGUAAAAACAGGAGAUGAUAUCAUUGUUACUGGGAUUUUGACUGCAAAAUGGUCUCCUGAUUUAAAAGAUGUUCGAUCCAAUCUUGAUCCUGUAUUAAUUGCUAAUUAUGUGAGGAGAACUAACGAGCUGAAAGCAGAUAUUGACAUCCCCAAUGAUGUUAUAAUGAAAUUCAAGCAGUUCUGGUCAGAUUUCAAUGAUACUCCUUUGAAAGGGAGAAAUGCCAUUCUGCGAGGUCUCUGCCCCCAAAUUUUUGGACUCUUCACUGUGAAGCUUGCUGUUACAUUAACACUUAUUGGAGGGGUGCAACAUGUUGAUGCUUCUGGUUCAAAGAUUCGAGGAGAGUCUCAUUUGCUUUUGGUUGGUGAUCCAGGUACGGGGAAGUCUCAGUUCUUAAAAUUUGCUGCAAAGCUGAGCAACCGGUCUGUUAUCACUACUGGGUUGGGGAGUACUAGUGCAGGAUUAACUGUCACUGCAGUCAAGGAUGGAGGGGAGUGGAUGUUGGAAGCUGGAGCCCUUGUUCUGGCAGAUGGAGGGCUUUGUUGCAUUGAUGAAUUUGACAGCAUGAGGGAGCAUGACAGGGCAACGAUACAUGAAGCAAUGGAGCAACAGACUAUAAGUGUUGCUAAGGCUGGUCUUGUUACUACUUUAAGUACUAGGACAAUUGUCUUUGGUGCAACAAAUCCCAAAGGACAGUAUGACCCUGAUCAAUCUCUCUCUGUCAACACUGCACUCUCGGGACCGUUAUUGAGCAGAUUUGACAUUGUUUUGGUCCUCUUGGAUACGAAGAAUCCUGAAUGGGAUGCUGUUGUAUCGUCUCACAUUCUCAAUGAGGGUGAAUCAAACAAAGGAGAUCAUGAUGAAGAUUUGGGUAAUAUCUGGACAUUUUCUAUGCUUCGCAGGUAUAUUCAUUUUGUUAAGGGGUACUUCAGGCCUGUGCUUACCAAGGAAGCUGAAAAGGUUAUUUCAAGUUAUUAUCAACUCCAACGAAGAUCUGCAACUUAUAAUGCAGCCAGGACUACCGUGCGCAUGCUGGAAAGUUUGAUACGCCUAGCUCAAGCACAUGCAAGACUUAUGUUCAGAAAUGAGGUCACUCGGAUAGAUGCCAUUAUGGCAAUUUUAUGUAUCGAAUCAUCUAUGACUACAUCAGCCAUUGUUGACAGUGUUGGGAAUUCCCUGCACUCAAAUUUCACAGAAAAUCCUGAUGAAGAAUAUGCCAAGCAGGAGGGACUAAUACUUGAAAAGUUGAGAUCGUUUGAUGAGUUUUCUGAUGUUAACAUCAUAGAAGGAUUGUCUAGAUGACAAUACAGAAAGCAAAAGCAUCUUCACCAGCAGUAUGAUUUCAUUCCCACCUGCUUUUCAUAAUCAAGCAUUUAUCCUAAGGAAGACAAAAAAGUGGGAUGCAGCACGUGGAAUUUCAAGGAGCUGAAGUGAUUUUCAGAGAAUACUACAUUUUGAUUGAGGGAAACUAUGUGUGGGAGAAGUAGAAGCUGGGAGGAAAGAAAAUGAAGGAGAGGAAAACAUAAAAUCAAUGCAUUUCUCUUUUUUGGAGCAACCAUGAGGGAAAAUAGAGGGAGAAGAUUUUGCCCCAUAGGUUGAGGAGCCACAAGUUGUCAAUACCUUCAAGAAAUUAAGAUCAAUCAGAGAACAAGAUUUGGUGAUAAGAUUGUACUCCAUCCAAUAUCUUUCCUGGAAUAUCUUCCAGUAAAUGCUUGAUUUACAUGUAGAUUAGACCGAGACCUAGCAAAAAUGUAUGAUUGUGAUCAUAAUAACAAGAUGGCGUACUAGAAGUACACUAAGUAAAGUUUCCAGAUACCAAUUUGUAGUACGAGAGGAAAUAUACUGGUUUAAGAUUUUUCCCAGCCCAGUGACUAAGUUGCAUUGUAAAAAGCAGAAUGUGAAUUAUAAUUUCUGUUCUGCAUGUUUACAUGUAGAAAAAGAAGAAGAAAAACAAGGUGAGGAUGAAUAUGGUUACGUGGUAUGGAAGUGGCUGGUUUGUGGUCAUGUUGGGAUGGCCGAAGUGAGGUUGGUGGCGGCACUAAUAGUGAGGACACGACGAAGGAAGAGAAGAAUAAGGUUGGCAGAUAAAGAAAAAACUAGGAGGCUGAUUUUUCACGUACUUUGCACUUCAAUUUCUUGUCAUUCAAUACUCGAAAUCCACUCAUAUUUAUAGAGGAUGGAAGAGAGACAUCUUAUUUUUAUCGAAAAUCAAUCUUGGCUCUUGAUUUAAGCGGGAAGAAUCCCAAUCGUUGACUCAAAGAUGUAAUCAUGAUCUUCGAAAAAUUACGCUGCUAGGGAUGCUCAGGAUGACCUCUUUAGGGCGGCGCUGCAUCGGUUGCAAGGGCAAUUAACCUACAAGAAUUACCCUGGGAUGCAGUACAAUGUCAAGCCAUCAUAGUGAUGUAUGGUUUGUCAGGUUUAGUUGAGAGAUGAAGCAUUAAAUGCUCUGAAAAAGAUAGGGGAUGAUGAACAAUCUUUUUUGUUUUGCUUUGGUUUGUUCAAAAUGACACUAUUUUGGUCAAAACAUGCCGUUUCAUUUAAAUAAAACAAUAUUGUUUUGGCU